rnacentral:rRNA from 1 species
AUGCAAGUCGAGGGUAACAUUGUGCUUGCACAGAUGACGACCGGCGCACGGGUGCGUAACGCGUAUAGAACCUACCUUUUACAGAGGAAUAGCCUUUAGAAAUGAAGAUUAAUGCCUCAUGGUAUUGUAGACUGGCAUCAGUUUAUAAUUAAAGAUUUAUCGGUAAAAGAUGGCUAUGCGUCCUAUUAGUUAGUUGGUAAGGUAACGGCUUACCAAGACAGCGAUAGGUAGGGGUCCUGAGAGGGAGAUCCCCCACACUGGUACUGAGACACGGACCAGACUCCUACGGGAGGCAGCAGUGAGGAAUAUUGGACAAUGGAGGAGACUCGGAUCCAGCCAUGCCGCGUGUAGGAAGAAUGCCCUAUGGGUUGUAAACUACUUUUAUACAGGAAGAAACACUGGUAUGUAUACCAGCUUGACGGUACUGUAAGAAUAAGGACCGGCUAACUCCGUGCCAGCAGCCGCGGUAAUACGGAGGGUCCGAGCGUUAUCCGGAAUCAUUGGGUUUAAAGGGUCCGCAGGCGGUCGAUUAAGUCAGAGGUGAAAUCCCAUAGCUCAACUAUGGAACUGCCUUUGAUACUGGUUGACUUGAGUCAUAUGGAAGUAGAUAGAAUGUGUAGUGUAGCGGUGAAAUGCAUAGAUAUUACACAGAAUACCGAUUGCGAAGGCAGUCUACUACGUAUGUACUGACGCUGAGGGACGAAAGCGUGGGGAGCGAACAGGAUUAGAUACCCUGGUAGUCCACGCCGUAAACGAUGGAUACUAGUUGUUGGGAUUUAUCUCAGUGACUAAGCGAAAGUGAUAAGUUCCCACUGG